UCCACUCAGCCAUCUCUCC
rnacentral:tRNA from 14 species